UUAAUUUGAUAAAACAAAUAAAAAACAAACCAAACACCCCAUUUGGGAUGUCUGGUCGUACAAGAACACAGGGGGCGACACAGGCUCCCCACCAAACCCUUGUGCAUGUCAAACUUGAUCAAAUUGAGGGUUCAAAUCAGUCCCAAAUCGAAAUCCAAGCUCGUAUUCAUGAACACCAAGUUGAAAGGAUCACAAGUUUGACGCGUAACAAGCUAGGUGGAAACUUGGAGUGAAAGCGGGUCAAACAAGUCAAGCAUGGAAGAAAAGCGUAGCUCGGAUGCAAGGUAAGUGAAACUUACAUAAUUGUGUAGAUUACUUGUUCAUUCUAUACGUUAUAGAUGCAAUAAUGCUAAUAUUGAAAAUAUGGAUUUCCGACGUGAUUGAUACGAGUCGGAACAUAUAAAGAUGAUAAAAACCAUGUUUAUGGCAAAAAGGGGGAUUCGGUAAUGAAAUCCGGGACGGGAUGGAUGUAUGAAUUAGAAGUCAAAAACCAUGUUUUUGAUUUAAUAGGCAACGUUGGGCAUAUAGGCCGAACGGGUCAAAUGGUGGUGAUAACACUAUUUGACAAUAUCGACUAAUGCGAUUGUCAAGUCUUGUGUUAACAGGAGCGAUUAGCGAUUCAGUUAAUUUCGCCCACACUAAGUGUGAUGAUAAAAGCAAGGUAUAAAUUGGGUCUAUAUGUUGACCCUAGCCAGGUACUUUGUGGAAGCCGGAAGACGAUCAAGCUCAACGAAGAACCGAACACGAUACAGUU